GAUGAACGCUGGCGGCGUGCCUAAUACAUGCAAGUCGAGCGAAAAGACGAGGAGCUUGCUCCUCUGACGUUAGCGGCGGACGGGUGAGUAACACGUGGAUAACCUACCUAUAAGACUGGGAUAACUUCGGGAAACCGGAGCUAAUACCGGAUAAUAUCUUGAACCGCAUGGUUCAAUAGUGGAAGACGGUUUUGCUGUCACUUAUAGAUGGUUCCGCGCCGCAUUAGCUAGUUGGUAAGGUAACGGCUUACCAAGGGAACGAUGCGUAGCCGACCUGAGAGUGGGAUCGGCCACACUGGAACUGGGACACGGUCCAGACUCCUACGGGAGGCAGCAGUAGGGAAUCUUCCGCAAAGGGCGAAAGCCUGACGGAGCAACGCCGCGUGAGUGAUGAAGGUCUUCGGAUCGUAAAACUCUGUUAUUAGGGAAGAACAAAUGUGUAAGUAACUAUGCACGUCUUGACGGUACCUAAUCAGAAAGCCACGGCUAACUACGUG
rnacentral:rRNA from 1 species